rnacentral:rRNA from 1 species
AUUUCCCUCUGUCGGCAUGCUUUACACAUGCAAGUCGAACGGCAGCGCGGGCUUCGGCCUGGCGGCGAGUGGCGAACGGGUGAGUAAUGCAUCGGAACGUGCCCAGUAGUGGGGGAUAGCCCGGCGAAAGCCGGAUUAAUACCGCAUACGACCUGAGGGUGAAAGCGGGGGACCGAAAGGCCUCGCGCUAUUGGAGCGGCCGAUGUCGGAUUAGCUAGUUGGUGGGGUAAAGGCUUACCAAGGCGACGAUCCGUAGCUGGUCUGAGAGGACGACCAGCCACACUGGGACUGAGACACGGCCCAGACUCCUACGGGAGGCAGCAGUGGGGAAUUUUGGACAAUGGGGGCAACCCUGAUCCAGCCAUGCCGCGUGCGGGAAGAAGGCCUUCGGGUUGUAAACCGCUUUUGUUCGGGAAGAAAUCCUCUGGGCUAAUACCCCGGGGGGAUGACGGUACCGGAAGAAUAAGCACCGGCUAACUACGUG